CACAACGGGCAAAUAACUAGUUUUUCAAAAAACAUGUAAAGAUGUUCCUAAGCAGCUGCUAUCCGAACUAUUAACAAAACAUCACCAAAUAAAUCAAAGAAAAUAAGCGUGUGGUAUUAGCAUCUUCAACAUUUAUUAAAAUUUCUUUAACAGGAUCUGCAUGACAAAAUGGAGUCCAUAGGCAUGGAGUACACUAAGACAUUUUUAUAUUAGAUACACAGUGAUACGUCAUAUGCAAAGAUCAGAAAUCGAAGUUCCAUGAAACAAAUCACACACUCUAGUAGCUAGCCACCCAUGUAAGUACACAGGAAGUUCAAGGGAGUUACCAUCUUUAGUUGCUUGCUUGGUUCCCAGAACGAUAAGCGAAAAUGAUGGACAAUAUAAUAACAAGUAGGAUAAUCAGAGCAGGAUUAUAUCUUGGCUUGUUUCUAAUAAUAUAAGAUUUUCUUUUGUUUAGAAGUCCAGACUCCCUGCAAGUUUUUUGUAUUGCUUCCACCCUGCUAAAUGUCUUUUCUGCAUUAGGAUCACUCCUGUCAACCUUGGACUUGAGCAUACAGGAAAAGUCAAAGAAAGCACCAUAGACAUCAGCCAUAGUUUUUGUUUGGUCGAUGACUUUAGCAGUAAGACCUAGAAACAAACAUGAUUGAGUAAGGAAUUUAACAUCCGAGUCUUUUCUACUCGCAUUUUUUUUUUGGUACAUUGGAAAAUAAUUCAAAAAUCCGAGUCUUUUCUGCUCUCAACUUAAAAAGAAGAAUAGUUCAAAAUCCUUCAAAGAUGAGAGGGCAGCAGGGGCUGAUGGCUCAUAAAUGCUCAAAAUGGCCUGACAUAUACAAGUUGAAGCAUGUUUGUUGCCUGGUAAGAAAUUAUCAUAUUCGUAGACAAAAGCACAAAUGGUACAUUAGGCAUGGAAGUAUGGUUCUAAUAUUGGAUUAUGAGAUGACACCAUUUCAUGAAAUGAUAUGGAAUAAAAUAAAAGGAAAAAAAUUGUCCCAAAAUCUUCCUAAAUAAUUGGGAAAUUAAAUAUAUUGACAUUAGGUGCUACAUUGUUCUUUUUCAGAAAUAAUAUUCUAGCUCUUUUAGAUCUUUUUACAAAAUAAGUUUCAGUUGUUUUACUAUGCCUCAAACCCCUUGACAAUAGCUUUUAGUAAUUUUAAUAGUUUUCUCUGCACAUCUAAAAUAUAGUUCUGGUUUCAGCAGCCUAAAAAGCAAAAAAAGUAGUUCAUAGAUUAAACUUACCACGCCUCAUUUUUACUACACCUCUGAAUACUUCAAUGUUGUUGUAGCAUAGUGCUAGGGUUCCAAUUGCCAUGACCUGAGGGAUGGCACAAAAUCGAAAUAUAGCAGGAUCUCGCAAUGCAGACAUGUAUGUCAAGCAAUCAUCCACAUGAAUCAAAGCAUUAGUAAUCAUAUCAUUCAAGCAUUGCACUGCCUUGACUGAGUUCUCUUCAUCUUUCAAGUCCUCGAGUUUGUUAACAUAUUUACUCCAGGUCUGACGAGGCCAAAACAUGCGUGACUUAGGGAUCUCAUUUAUAUCCUCCAAAUAAUCUCUAAUAAUGUUUGUUUUCUGAAGAAAUAAACCCAUUGAGUUGGAGGGGACAUCUGGUGCCAAAUCUUCUGAUCCAGAGGCAUGGAAAAGUUUGGACAGGCCUAGUCCAACAAGUCCAGCUACAUAAUGGCAAUAUUCAUCAUAGUCAUCAACUGUUUCCACCUCCUUGCAUAUGAAUUUAGCCAUUCCUGCACCCAUUCUUUUUGUAAUAUUCUCAAUUGCCUCCUGAUAACUGGAGAAUAAAUUGAACUCUGAAGUCAUUUACAGAGGAAAAGAAUAUAAAGAAUAUUCACAUAAGUUAUUAGAUGCAAUGAGUUGUUAAACCAUAAAGUACAGCAAAAACAGUCCAAAUAAAUAGUACAAGGCAUAAGCUUGUGCAAAUUAAUCCUCCUAUUAGUCUUAAAUAAGAUCUAGUCUUCUUUUUCUUUAAAAAAAAAAUCUCUUGCUAAAAUCUUCAAACUGAAGAUACUUAUCCAGGUUAAGAGAUCCAUAAACUUGGUAAAUGGCUUGGCAGAUUCUCAUCAUGAAAUUGGUUGUCGGAUAUUUUCUAACAGUUUCCAUAAAGUGAUAUAUCAUUAGAGUACCUGAGAAGUUCUUAGAAGCUAACUCGUUCAAACAAUAACCACAAAGCUUAGGAUAAGUCUGACAACAAAAACUAAUAAUAAUACGUGGAAAGUUGAGGAAAAUGGUAAAGAUACAGCUAACUAUCAUAUCAUGGUUAGAACUCAUAAAAGAAUUAUCAAUAACAUAGACAUAUCCUCAAAUCUAUAGAAGAUCCCUUCAAUAAGUUACACCAGGAGAGAUACAGGAACUAGAAGGAACCUUUUCCCAAGCUCUAGAAAGGCAGUUGAAACAUGAUGAAACUGGUCCAUGAGCACUUUAUAGUCCUUACUACCACAAGAAAAAUGCCACUCGCGAUUAUAUAUGUGCUGGUGAAAAGCUAUCAGAAUAGGCACUUUGACAUCAGUAGGUAUGCUUGUAUCAUCCUCAACAGUAUCAAGGGCUCGAAGAACCAAAUAGAAUAUACAUACAGCAUCACGAAGCUGAGGGCCGAGCUGUUGAAUGACGAGAGCAAAACUACGAGAGACCUUGUGAAGCAUGGAGUAACAGAAACGCCAGUGAGGCUCUGGUGGAAUCUGCUUCUCUGCAUUCCUGGAGGCCAUUUUCAACUUCAAAAGCGGGUAAAAAUCAUCUGGGUGUUUCAAAAUCGCUCCCAAACUCCCCAUUAUGACCAGAUCCCUUGCGAAACCAAAUGGGAAGCAGAGAGAAUUUUGAAACCAAAAUCGAGUUUCACCAAGCAAUUAAGUUAAUGUGUUUUUGCAGGAGAAGAAGUUGGAAAACGUAUAAUGCGUGGUUCUCGAAUUAAAUAAAGGAUUCAAUUAUUAAUUUUGCUCUCCCUCACAAAAACAAUUGGUUGGCAAUGAAAUUGAUGAUUCAAGAAGAUAUUAGUGCAUAUUUUGUACGUUAGAGUCCAAAAGGAAGGAUUUUUAGCCCCAUAGCUUUAAAGUCGUGGAACUAUGUCUUCUCAAAACAAAACGACAAGAGCC
rnacentral:misc_RNA from 1 species